UACGUAGGGUGCAAGCGUUGUCCGGAUUUAUUGGGCGUAAAGAGCUCGUAGGCGGUUCGUCGCGUCGGAUGUGAAAACCCAGGGCUCAACCCUGGGCCUGCAUUCGAUACGGGCAGACUAGAGUAUGGCAGGGGAGACUGGAAUUCCUGGUGUAGGCGGUGAAAUGACGCAGAUAUCAGGAGGAACACCGGUGGCGAAGGCGGGUCUCUGGGCCAAAACUGACGCUGAGGAGCGAAAGCGUGGGGAGCGAACAGG
rnacentral:rRNA from 1 species